AUUGAACGCUGGCGGCAGGCCUAACACAUGCAAGUCGAGCGGAUGAAGGGAGCCUGCUCCUGGAUUCAGCGGCGGACGGGUGAGUAAUGCCUAGGAAUCUGCCUGGUAGUGGGGGAUAACGUCCGGAAACGGGCGCUAAUACCGCAUACGUCCUGAGGGAGAAAGUGGAGGAUCUUCGGACCUCACGCUAUCAGAUGAGCCUAGGUCGGAUUAGCUAGUUGGUGGGGUAAAGGCCUACCAAGGCGACGAUCCGUAACUGGUCUGAGAGGAUGAUCAGUCACACUGGAACUGAGACACGGUCCAGACUCCUACGGGAGGCAGCAGUGGGGAAUAUUGGACAAAGGGCGAAAGCCUGAUCCAGCCAUGCCGCGUGUGUGAAGAAGGUCUUCGGAUUGUAAAGCACUUUAAGUUGGGAGGAAGGGCAGUAAGUUAAUACCUUGCUGUUUUGACGUUACCAACAGAAUAAGCACCGGCUAACUUCGUG
rnacentral:rRNA from 1 species